UUAAUCGAGCUCACUGAUGGAAUAGUGGGUCGAAGGACGUAGGCUGUAACUUAGGCAAAUCCGGGUUGCAAUAGGCCGAGAUCUUACAGGCUCCUGACACUCUUCGGAGGAGAGGGAGAAUCGAUGAUACUGUCGUGCCAAGAAAAGCCACUAAGUAUAUUGUAUGUUGCCCGUACCGUAAACCGACACAGGUGGGUGGGAUGAGUAUUCUAAGGCGCGUGGAAGAACCCUGGUUAAGGAACUCUGCAAACUAGCACCGUAUCUUCGGUAUAAGGUGUGCCUACUUUGGUAUAUGGACUUGCUCCAAAAAGCUAGAGAGGUUGCAACAAAGAGUCCCUCCCGACUGUUUACCAAAAACACAGCACUUUGCUAACACGUAAGUGGAUGUAUAAGGUGUGACGCCUGCCCGGUGCUCGAAGGUUAACUGAUGAUGUCAGCGCAAGCGAAGCAUUUGAUUGAAGCCCGAGUAAACGGCGGCCGUAACAAUAACGGUCCUAAGGUAGCGAAAUUCCUUGUCGGUUAGAUACCGACCUGCAUGAAUGGCGUAACGAGAUGGGAGCUGUCUCAACCAGGGAUCCAGUGAAAUUGUAGUGGAGGUGAAAAUUCCUCCUACCCGCGGAAAGACGGAAAGACCCCGUGCACCUUUACUACAGCUUGACACUGUAGCUUGGAUAUUCAUGUGCAGGAUAGGUGGGAGGCUAUGAUGCUAGGACGCAAGUACUAGCGGAGCCAUCCUUGAGAUACCACCCUUGAAUAUUUGAGUUACUAACUGCGUACAAUUAUCUUGUAUCAGGACAAUGUCUGGUGGGUAGUUUGACUGGGGCGGUCGCCUCCUAAAAAGUAACGGAGGCUUACAAAGGUUAGUUCAUGGCGGAUGGAAAUCGCCAGUUGAGUAUAAUGGCAUAAACUAGCUUGACUGUGAGACAUACAAGUCGAACAGAGACGAAAGUCGGUCAUAGUGAUCCGGUGGUUCUGUGUGGAAGGGCCAUCGCUCAAAGGAUAAAAGGUACGCCGGGGGUAACAGGCUGAUCUCCCCCAAGAGCUCACAUCGACGGGGAGGUUUGGCACCUCGAUGUCGGCUCAUCGCAUCCUGGGGCUGGAGUAGGUCCCAAGGGUAUGGCUGUUCGCCAUUUAAAGCGGUACGCGAGCUGGGUUCAGAACGUCGUGAGACAGUUCGGUCCCUAUCUUCCGUGGGCGUAGGAAAGUUGAAGAGAUUUGUCCCUAGUACGAGAGGACCGGGAUGAACGUACCACUGGUGUACCAAUUGUUCUGCCAAGAGCAUCGUUGGGUAGCUACGUACGGAUGUGAUAAGAGCUGAAAGCAUCUAAGCUCGAAGCCAACUCUAAGAUUAACUUUCCCUGAAGUUCCCAGCAAGACUAGCUGGUUGAUAGGCUGGAUGUGUAAGCGUUGUAAGGCGUUUAGCUGACCAGUACUAAUAGAACGUUUGGCUC
rnacentral:rRNA from 1 species